UACGAAGGGGGCUAGCGUUGCUCGGAAUUACUGGGCGUAAAGGGCGCGUAGGCGGAUAUUUAAGUUGGGGGUGAAAUCCCGGGGCUCAACCUCGGAAUUGCCUUCAAAACUGGAUAUCUUGAGUUCGGGAGAGGUGAGUGGAACUCCGAGUGUAGAGGUGAAAUUCGUAGAUAUUCGGAAGAACACCAGUGGCGAAGGCGACUUACUGGACACGUAUUGACGCUGAGGUGCGAAAGCGUGGGGAGCAAACAGG
rnacentral:rRNA from 1 species